rnacentral:rRNA from 1 species
UACGUAGGGUGCAAGCGUUAAUCGGAAUUACUGGGCGUAAAGCGUGCGCAGGCGGUUUUGUAAGUCUGUCGUGAAAGCCCCGGGCUCAACCUGGGAAUUGCGAUGGAGACUGCAAGGCUUGAAUCUGGCAGAGGGGGGUAGAAUUCCACGUGUAGCAGUGAAAUGCGUAGAGAUGUGGAGGAACGCCGAUGGCGAAGGCAGCCCCCUGGGUCAAGAUUGACGCUCAUGCACGAAAGCGUGGGGAUCAAACAGG